GGAGGUAAUGGAUCGAUGGCGACGUUUGUAACCGCCAGGUAGUGGGCCGCCCACAGUCAAGAGGAAUUUACUGCGAAGAGUAGUGGAGCGGAGUCGUGGCUAUCGCCGUAGCUCGCCACGUGGAAUCUGUUACAGGCAGUGGAGUCACACGGCGCCCGCCGCAGGGAGUGGAGCAGAAUCAUGGCCGUUGAUACAGCCUGUCAGAGAAU
rnacentral:lncRNA from 1 species